UCCCUAACGGGAGGGUAAUACCGGGCGAAGUAACGAGUGGGCAUCUGCUUGUUACCAAAUGAAUUUCGCCUUGAGAGGGGCUCACGUGGUAUUAGCUUGAUGGUAGGGUAACGGCCUACCAUGGCCAAGAUGCCUACCAGGUGUGAGAGCACGACCUGCGCCACUGGCACUGAGACACUGGCCAGACUCCUACGGGAGGCUGCAGUCGAGGAUCUUCGGCAAUGGGCGCAAGCCUGACCGAGCGACGCCGCGUGUGCGAUGAAGGCCUUCGGGUUGUAAAGCACUGUCGAGGGGGAGAAAAGCCGCAAGGCUUGAUCUAUCCCUGGAGGAAGCACGGGCUAAGUUCGUGCCAGCAGCCGCGGUAAGACGAACCGUGCUAACGUUGUUCGGAUUCACUGGGCUUAAAGGGCGCGUAGGCGGGCGGUCAAGUCAGGGGUGAAAUCCGGCAGCUUAACUGUCGCAGUGCCUCUGAUACUGACUGUCUUGAGGGAGGUAGGGGCAUGUGGAACUCAGGGUGGAGCGGUGAAAUGCGUAGAUAUCCUGAGGAACGCCGGUGGCGAAAGCGACGUGCUGGACCUCUUCUGACGCUGAGGCGCGAAAGCCAGGGGAGCAAACGGGAUUAGAUACCCCGGUAGUCCUGGCCCUAAACGUUGGGUACUAGAUUGUGGACUGGACAUGGGUUCACAGUCGAAGCAAAAGUGAUAAGUACCCCGCCUGGGGAGUAUGGUCGCAAGGCUGAAACUCAAAGGAAUUGACGGGGGCUCACACAAGCGGUGGAGCAUGUGGCUUAAUUCGAGGCUACGCGAAGAACCUUAUCCUGGGCUUGACAUGUGCGAAAGCGGUAGGUGUUGUAGCUGCCGGAAACGGUUAGCGAACCCGCAAGGGGGACCUACUACAGGUGCUGCAUGGCUGUCGUCAGCUCGUGUCGUGAGAUGUUGGGUUAAGUCCCCUAACGAGCGAAACCCUUGUCUCCAGUUGCUACCCGCAAGGGAGGACUCUGGAGAGACUGCCGGUGUUAAACCGGAGGAAGGUGGGGAUGACGUCAAGUCCUCAUGGCCUUUAUGCCCAGGGCUGCACACGUGCUACAAUGGCGUAUACAAAGGGAAGCCAACCCGCGAGGGGGAGCAAAUCCCAAAAAAUACGCCCCAGUUCAGAUUGAAGGCUGCAACUCGCCUUCAUGAAGUUGGAAUCGCUAGUAAUCGCAGGUCAGCAACACUGCGGUGAAUGUGUUCCUGAGCCUUGUACACACCGCCCGUCAAGCCACGAAAGGGGGGGACGGCCGAAGUCGCCACACUAAGUUGGUGCCGACGCCGGACUCUCCGAUUGGGACUAAGUCGUAACAAGGUA
rnacentral:rRNA from 1 species